GCUGGUGUGGCUCAGUGGACAGAGUGUCAGCCUGCAGACUGACGGGUUCUGGGUUCGAUUCCAGUCAAGGGCA
rnacentral:tRNA from 1 species